AGCGAACGCUGGCGGCAGGCCUAACACAUGCAAGUCGAACGGCUCUUCGGAGCAGUGGCGGACGGGUGAGUAACGCGUGGGAACGUGCCCUUUGGUUCGGAACAACACAGGGAAACUUGUGCUAAUACCGGAUGUGCCCUUCGGGGGAAAGAUUUAUCGCCAUUGGAGCGGCCCGCGUUGGAUUAGGUAGUUGGUGGGGUAAAGGCCCACCAAGCCGACGAUCCAUAGCUGGUCUGAGAGGAUGAUCAGCCACACUGGGACUGAGACACGGCCCAGACUCCUACGGGAGGCAGCAGUGGGGAAUCUUGCGCAAUGGGCGAAAGCCUGACGCAGCCAUGCCGCGUGAAUGAUGAAGGUCUUAGGAUUGUAAAAUUCUUUCACCGGGGAAGAUAAUGACGGUACCCGGAGAAGAAGCCCCGGCUAACUUUCGUGCCAGCGCCGCGGUAAU
rnacentral:rRNA from 1 species